UUUGCACCAUACUGUAUAGUUUGUUCCUUUUGACUGAGUCGUAUCAAGGGCGCCCCCAGGGAGGGGCCAGGUGGGGCCAUCGCCCCCCCUGAGAAUUUGGCGAAAGCGUGUAAAAAAUAUUUAGCUCUCUCUUACUUUAUAUUAUAAAAUAAAUUCCAUAUUAAUCAUAAUCGCUCACGAGAUAUGCCAGUUUAAAUGUAUUUUUUCUCAAUCCCUUAUCCCUUCUGACUGAGACGCAUAUGUUUGGAUGGAACCGCAUCGUUUUCGGUGCGCAUGCCGCAUGCACUGAUGAUGUCCGGUCUAGGCUUAUCCAGUUGAGAAAUGAAAUAGGUGGGCUGAACGGCCGAUCUGAUACGUCUAGUAGUACGGUAGUGCUCACAAUUUAUAUACUGUUAUUCAUAGAACUUAUAUUAACGUGUUAAAAGUGUUUUUUGUGCAACGUCACUCUCAAACGUGUGAAGACCUGGAUAAGGAAUACGAUGUCGAACAAUCGUCUAAGUGGGCUAUGCCUGUUAUCUGUACACAGAA
rnacentral:lncRNA from 1 species